CGAAAUACUGACGAGAAAAGGACGACCUGCGUCAAGGCAUUUAAAAGCAAGGACAUCUUCUUUGAAAAGAAAUUAAAUUCAAAUCUAUUCCGAUUGUUUUACAUUACUCGUUUUUGUUCAAAGUACAAACUAAAAAAAGUACGAAUUGAAAACGUGUUCGCGGUAUCAGAAUUUUGAGGAUGCGCGCGCAUCGUAUAAACCCCUUGAAAUAAAUAAUUCUAACCCUCCUCGUGUUUUUUUUACAAUUGACAAAGAAGACAAAAAACGGUGUAAAAUUACAAAUAAACACUGGUUAUGGACUACUUGUAUAUGCUGCUGUUUUGUUUUUUCCCUCGAUAAUGUAGUUUACAAAGCCUUUUAAAGCAAUAUGAAAAAGGUUUUUUAUUGAUAUUUUCAGUCAUUAUAAUGUUUUCUUUUCAUGCAAUACUGAAAUAAUAUCUCACAAACACUUACGCCACAGAUUUGAUCCAUAUCAGUUUAUAAAUAUUUUGGCAAAACGGCGCCAAUCCGCAAGCAGCGUAAGUUACGUAAAUACGUCUUUUGUCUGUCUGAUAUACAAUUUACACCGCUUAAAGAUGUUGUGUGUGUGUGUUUGCGUGCGUGCGUGCGCGCGCGUGCAUGUUUGUGUGGAUAAGUUAUUUUUAUUCUAUAGCCGCUGGAAUCAACGACAAGGGCCAGAUUAUCUGCGCAUUUGAUGGUCCGAUCGUAGAGCCCUAAUCAGCAGCAAAUCAGAAUCUCCUCUCACCUGUUCUGUGGAUACGACAAUACUUCCAAGGCAAACAGAUAACGAAGAAUACCUACCAUUGCCAAGAUAUUAAAAUAAACGAACAAGUCAAAACCUGUUUGUGACAAGAGUUCAACCUGACACGAGACAAUGGAAGGACGUAGAAACAUCCUAUACAUUGCUGCGAUAAUUCUUCUAUGAAAAUAUUAUUUCUUAUUUCAUAGUUUUUGUGUAUUUUUAAGUCUUGAGUUUCUGUUUCUGCUGCUAAAUUAUGAAUAAACAUAUGAUAUCAGCAAUUUUACAUAAAAUUCAUGAAAAACAUGAACUUGGAGAAAUAGUAUACAUGUACUUUAAAAUUGCCACAUAAUAUUACAAUUUACAUACAUGUGUAUUUAUAAAUACCGAAAGAAAAGAUUCUUUAACAAAGAAAACAUAAAGUUCAAAUAUUUGUGUUUCAACAAAUAUGCAUUAAAAAUGUUACAAUGUUGAAUAAGUUUAUAGCCACAUGGUAAACUACGUUUACGUUUACAUUUUACUUUUUCAGUGAGCAUAGACUAUUCCAGAUCAGAAGAGCACUAUAGUUUGAGUUAUAAUUACUUUGAAUUGAUGGCCCAGUGCUUCGAGAAGUCCUGCUUUUGUAUUUGCAAAAAGGAGAGAUUGUGCUUAUGCGCCGAUAAGUCAGGAUCUCUAACUCUAUUUUGAUAUCUAUCUCUAAUCAGAGACAGGCAAGAAAAAUAGUUUGAUCAUUAUUUUCAAUUGUAAUGUCUUACAUGUUAAUGUAACGAUCACACCUCAAUGUAAACAAAUAUUUUCAUUAACCCGCCCGCUUACGUUUCCUUGGAAGUACUAGUAUUGUUAUGCAGGCAUAUAUAAACUUUUAAAAGUAGAUCUAAACAUUGUAGUAUUAUAUUAUUGUUCAUAAGUUCAUGAUGCAUAUGUGUGAAAAUAAUUUAUGUUGUUUCAGGAAAUAAUUAUGGUUCACCCUUCUGUUAUUGACGCUUUAAAAUCGGCGUAUUAUUUUAAUGAUGAUUGGGGGAUGAUGAAGAUGAUGAUGAUGAUGAUGAUUGUGUUGAUCUGUAUCGAUAAAAAAAUCUGGAAACAAAGUGAUUACCUGUAUUAUAUUUUAACUUCUAUGUUACAUUACCUAUUCACAGCUUGUCUUGUUUCGAUGCACUCCAUAUAAAAAAGAUUGACCCUCUUCUAAGAGCAAAUCCUGGUUGUGACCAACUUGAUUCUGGAAAAGUUAAAUUUUGGCUCUGGAGGAUGUUCAUAGACGGCUAAUCACUGCGAACCUAACUAUUGUUGCUGUAAGGCGUAUUGAUCAUUUUCCCCAUAGCCAAUUAUUUGAUAAAAUUAAUGUACCUGUGUCUUUGCAAUUCAAAGUAUAAAAUAAAUUCAACAAUAUUCACACUAUUCUGUUUUUUGAUCGGGUUAGUAAGUAUUUAAAGAAUGCAUGUAAGAGAUGGAGUUAGGGGUUUAAAUGUCAUACAGCAAUGUUACUAAGCAGAGACUUACAAUGAUUUGCCCCAUCAAUAUGCUUAACAUCUACUGUUUCUAGCAGUAUCAAUGUGUUUUAGUCAAGGCUCAAUGACUCUAGUUUAUGCUCAGUGGCAUAAAUUGAGACAAAGCGACCCCAUCAGAUGGGUGUGUCUUUAGUGUCAUUAUUAUGAACAGCUGUCUUUAAUUCUAUCCUUACAUAAUAACUUAGUAGUAAAUGUAAUCUAAAUAGUACAGUAUACUUGUACACUGUUACGUUUACGCUCAGGUAAUUGAACGGAGUCAAUGAGCGAAAACGAUAACAUAAUAAUAUCUAAAAUGAGGUUAAACCGUUGCCUUAUAAGUGGACUUAGAAUAUCUUGCAACCUAUCUAUUUCCUCUACCAUUUCACAUAUAACUUUGAAUUAUAAAUACUUAUAAAAUACGAUCAUCACCACUUUCAGACAAAAGAACAUUCCUCUGAUCUGACUUGUGACGAAAUCGUUCUCCCUUAAUAAUCUAAAAUUUCGGUUCACUUACUUGAAUACCCUCACUUAUUAUUUAAUAUACCUUUAAAGGUAUUGCUACUUCUAAAUGACCAUCCACUUUUCUUGUAGGUAAGAAGACAUACAUCAUUCUGUUAACAAAGUGACAAAGAUUUUUAGUUCAUUUCUUUGUACCAGCUCAUCCGCUUUCAAAUACCCGGUAGGUUAUUGACUUUUAACUUUGAAUAUUUGUCAGUCAUCAUCCAUACUUAUAGAAAGAAUACACGACACUGUCAAGAAAUGUGAUAAAAUGACAUCUUUCGUAUCAUUUUUUGUGCCAUUUUUUUUUUACUUCUUUACCAUUUCAUGUAAUGCUUUGACCCUCCAAAUUCUAGAUAAUUACCAUUAUUUGCACUUUCAUGUAAGAGCACUUGACUCUAUUAAGAAUCGUAACACAAUUAUGCCUUUUUGGAUAAAACUAUGGCACGGUUAAUUAAUUAAUCCCGCUGUUUUUCCUUAAACCUUUAAGGAAAUAUUCCAAAACUUUGAUCAUUUAUAAAAAAAACCCAUCAGCCGCUGUUCCAGGCAAAAGAUAUUUUAAUGUAAAACAUUAAACGGCGGCCGUUUUGUGUUUGUUUACAAUUUGACAUAUUAAACCUUAAAAAGGCGGAUGUUGUUUAAAACAAGUAAAAGUCUUAAUCCCUUAAAAACAACAGCACCUGUAAAACGGAUUGGAAGAUCAAUUUAUGAUCCAUUCCUAAUCUAUUACAUGUACAAUGUUUGAAACAAAACAUGAUAUUUCGACCUGAAACAAGUUCAUUUAAGAAUUUUCGCAGGCUGUGGGAAAAGGUACUGCGAAGAAAUGAGCAUAACAAGAGGUUGUUCUUUGUUUUUGUUCAGAUAUGCUCGAAGUAUGUUCUAAUACAAAGUUCUUAAUGGCAUGACCUUAAGGCUCAAUCACCCUAGACUAGGCCAUUUGAAUACACCGCCCAUUUGAACAAAAUAAAACGUCCAACCCUUUAAGACAGUGAUGUACACAGCCAAUAAUAACGAAGUAUCCUAUUACUGAAUAAGUAUCAGCAAUGUGAUAAAAGUGUAUUAAAAUAUGUAAAUGUUGAAUAUUUCUCGCUAAGUAUUGUAAUUAAUCAUAAGAUAAGAUGCUUAGUUAAGGCUUACUAUAAAAUCGGUGUAAGUGAAAAUAUUAACAGAUUAGUUAAUGGUGCAGAUGCUUACUUAUGGCUAAUGGCUCCAUAAUAUCAUUAAUCGGAUGAGGUGGGCAAAAUGAAGCUGUAAUAUUUUGUAUUCAACUCCAAGACAUACUGCACUUUGAACUAGUCAUUAUUUGCGAUGGAAUAAUUUUCGUUUGAUUCCAAGUUUUAUUUAUGAAAUUAACUGAUCGCGCUUUAAAGCAGUGAAAUAUAACUAUAUUCUUUUCGUUUCUGAUAGUGUUGUUCUCGACCUCUUUGUCGUUUUAUAUGCUGCUUUUCUAAGAAAAGUACAAAUGUAUUUAAUAAUCAUUAACACAUCACCGCAGUAAACAUUCGUUCAAAAAAUAUUCGCAGAUCAGUGUGAAGAAACGAUAUUUGGUAAUAUUAAUACAAGAUAAGGACUUCGAAUCCUAAUGAAUCGGUAAAAAUUGAGAUAUAUCCAAAAAUAUUGUACAUAAAUCGACAAUUUUUGUUAUUGUUAUGUUCUUUACAUUAUGUAACGUGAGAGGCUGUUUUCCGAUAUGACGUCGUUGUUUUAGAAAAUACCAGUUUGGCGGCUGGCAUACGUACAUGCACCUUAGGGUUAGUUUUUCUUUAAAGAAACAUGAACUCAAGUACAUACGACGCAAGGCGAAAUCUAAUGUGUAUAAACCUUUCUACCCCUUGUAUUCAAAAAAUAAAUUCAAAUAUAUGUUAAUGUUGACUUUUAAAAACUACUUGUAAGGAAAGCAGUGCGAGAAAUGCAUUCAUUUUACAAUAAGUUGCAAACAACAAUAACUAUAAAUUAUUCCGAAUGUUUUUUCGAUCACGUCAAAGGGUUAUGAUUAGAGGGACGACAAUAAAAGCAUUUGCUGCAUAUGCUAUUAGUUAUAUCAAAGCCAGAACAAAUCAGCCUUGGUCAAUGUCCAAGAAAUUGAGUCAGUUCUUGGCAAGACGCACAAGCGUACAUAGGCAAUAAGUUAAGAUCAUCAUGGCCCGUGUGGAUUUUCAACAAAUGAUAAUGAUGAUGUUUGAGGGCAAAAAAGUAAAUAAUUAUGUGGUAUCUGAAUGAGAUAGAAUAGCCUUACAUGUAUAAUUUGCCGGUCACAAGGUGUAAGAACAAAGACAGGUCAUGGCGGACGUUUUAAAUUUUUAUCCAACAGGAGGAGAUGACGAAUUCCUUCAGGAUUUAAUCACUGUCAGAUGGAGAAAAUAAUGUUCCAUUGACAAAGUAACUGAUUUUGAACAAGCAAAUGCUUCUGAAUUACGAAAAUGUACGCUUUCAGAAUUUCUUUCUGGCUAAGCUGUGCUUUGAUUUUGUAGUCCAACAUUUAGUUGGCCACGGCUUUUUGUUAUAUACGACGGCCGCCUUCGUGAAAUAUCAUGUAAUAUCAGAUCGGUCUUGCAGUCGAACUAUUGUGAAUCAGUCAUUUUGUAGAAAUUGAGUUAUGUUGCGGGAAAGCACCAUUUGUGCUUCAGCUGGUUAUUUAUGAGCAUUGAUAUAAAUAACAGGACAAUUUUUCUGGACAAAAAAAAACUUAAAUGUUGCUUAUUCUACUUAUAUAAUUGUGGCAAACAUAGACAUUCUGUAUGCCGCCCCUUAAAAUGUAUAAGGCAGAUAUAUGGCAAAUUUCAGUGUGUAUAAUCGCUUUGCCCUUUUGCAGACAAAACAUUUAGACUAGAAAACUAGAAAAGAUUCCUGAUAUCUGUUAACUGGCAAAUAACGAGCACAGAAAAUGAGCCAUACUGUGCUUAAACCGACCUUUCUACAGCCAUUCUAAAUUUGCUUGGUUACAUAAAGAAAUUGUGCAAUAUUAAUGAUGUUCUAAUUUUUUACCAUAAGAGAACCUACCAUUCUAGUAAGCGGAGUUUAAUUCUCAAUAUUUGAAAACUGCCAUAUUAAUUCAUUUUAAUGUCAAAAAAGACACCUAAGAGAAACAACAGAUGAAAAGCACUGCAAGGAGCAGAGUGAACUAUAAGUUAAAAUAUCGUUCGCUGUUAUUUAUUAUGUAAAUGAAUCAGAAAAAAAUCCUAAAACUUUGUUAAUGACAGACAAUAAAAAAGAAAUGAAAAAAACAAAAACAAAAAAACAAACAAAAAAACAACAACAUUUUUUUGGCCAUUUAAUGAAUGUUAUAAGAAAUAUAUAUAGAUAUAUUACAUUUAUAAGAAUCAUUUUACUAUCAGCUCUCUGCAAUUUCUUGCUGUGCGCAUCCCAUUAUGAUAGUUAAAACUAAAUAUCAAUCUUAUA